rnacentral:tRNA from 2 species
GGAGAGGUGGCCGAGUAGGUCUAAGGCGGUCGCCUGCUAAGCGAUUGGAUGUGUUUCAAAGCACAUCCCGUGGGUUCGAAUCCCACCCUCUCCGCCA